AUGUCUGGACUGAGGAAGACCCGGAAACUUCGAGGCCACGUGAGCCAAGGCCACGGUCACAUCGGCAAGCACCUGGGAGGCCAUGGUAAUGUUGGUGGCAUGCAUCACCACAGGAUCAACUUCGACAAAUAUCACCCAGGUUACUUUGGGAAAGUUGGUAUGAGGCAUUGCCACUUAAAGAGGAACCAGAGCUUCUGCCCAACUGUCAACCUUGAUAAAUUGUGGACUUUGGUCAGUGAGCAGAUACGGGUGAAUGCUGCUAAAAACAAGACUGGAAAUGCUCCCAUCAUUGACGUGGUUCGAUUGGGCUACUACAAAAUUCUGAGAAAGGAAAAGCUCCCAAAGAAGCCUGUCAUGGUGAAGUCCAAAUUCUUCAGUAGAAAAGCUGAGAAGAUUAAGUGUGUGAGGGGAGUCUGUGUCUUGGUGGCUUGA